UGCAGAGAGGGGCUGGACACUGGUUUGGAGCACAGCCUCCAUGGGUGGAAGGUGGUGUUUAACCUCCCCAUCAGCCCCUGGCAUGCAGGCAGGUGGUUGAGCCCUUCGUCAUUUUGAUAGGCGGUGAUUUGACACCGGCAGACAGGAGAGGCAAGAGCAUUGCUCUUUUUUAGGUGAGGGCAGGCAAUAAACCUCUGGAAGGAGAGUUAAAGCUAGCAUCUUGCACGAGUUAUAGACUGCAGAAAAUCAGAGGGAGGAGGACUGACUGUGACUACAGCUGAGAGAAAGUUUAUGUGGACAGGGAACAUAUAUCCCCAGAUCAGGAGCUUCCUCGGGGAAGGACGCUGUGCUUAGGAGUUGAGUCCUUGAGGUGAGGCUUUGCAGGAGUUUGGACAGCUUGUUAGCAAAGCAAAGCAGAGAGUGAGCCCCUUCACAGCUCGUUAAAAUCCCAGGUGGAUAUGCAAACUGGUUUUUGUGCUCUUCCUUAUAACUGUUUGGGGGCUUUGACAUACCUGAUCUGUAUUUAUAUCUGUGUAAGUCAUGUCUUCCUUUAUUUUUACCUUAACCCUUGUCUUUUUAUUGCAAGAUGGUGUCAUGGUAACGGACCCACAACUAAGAUAUCCAUAUCUCGGUGUCAGGCAGCCCUUACAGAAACAUGAUGUUUGACUGUUCCCACAGCUUUCCAGCAAAACCAACACUUUUCUAGGGUGCCUGUGGAGCUGGAGAGACUUCAUGACAAAGCUUCGCAGUGAAAAGUUUAGAAAUGAUAAUUUGUGUUUUCCAGGAGGCGAGUGCUCAUUAAAGCUAGCUAGUGGCUCCUUGGCAUACAGUAUGGAGGUGGAAAGAAAACAUGAGUUUCUGCAUGGCCCAGAAAGGCAACGAUGCUUCUUUUGUAUACCUGUUUAUUGCAAUUGCAAGCUUUGGAUGAAAAGCACUUUGUCUUCAUGUGUGCCACUUCAUCAACUAGCAAAUUGGAGUCAGGGAGCAAAUAUAUGGAGACCAAACACAGGUUAUUCUGCACUGCAUAGGUACGUGUGUGCAUACAUAUCCUUAUGCAAGUGCACGCUAUCUCUCCAGUAACCUUUUCUGUCCCUUCUUAGCUUUGUCAAUGUCAAGGUAAAAAUGUGUUCUCUUUGUUUCUUGUCUUUUUAAGCAGUUUUCCUGGCCCGUUGUUCUUCAUUUUUCAUUUGAUUUGAAUCUAAGCUGUGAGGAAGAUGAACCUUUCACCUGCUGAAGAACAUCACUCUUGUGAAUAAGAAUCUAUAUUAAAAGAUGUUAAAAUUCUCUGCAGAAAUGAGUGUUUUAAAGGUAGUUAGAUCUAUUGCCUUUCAAAUCUGACUUUUCAUAUUGCAUUAUAUUGCUCAGUAUAAUGUGUGAAACAUGUAAAGGGUAUAUCAGAG
rnacentral:lncRNA from 1 species